rnacentral:rRNA from 1 species
UGGGGAAUAUUGGACAAUGGGCGAAAGCCUGAUCCAGCCAUGCCGCGUGUGUGAAGAAGGUCUUCGGAUUGUAAAGCACUUUAAGUUGGGAGGAAGGGCAUUAACCUAAUACGUUAGUGUUUUGACGUUACCGACAGAAUAAGCACCGGCUAACUCUGUGCCAGCAGCCGCGGUCAUACAGAGGGUGCAAGAGUUAAUCGGAAUUACUGGGCGUAAAGCGCGCGUAGGUGGUUUGUUAAGUUGGAUGUGAAAUCCCCGGGCUCAACCUGGGAACUGCAUUCAAAACUGACUGACUAGAGUAUGGUAGAGGGUGGUGGAAUUUCCUGUGUAGCGGUGAAAUGCGUAGAUAUAGGAAGGAACACCAGUGGCGAAGGCAACCACCUGGACUAAUACUGACACUGAGGUGCGAAAGCGUGGGGAGCAAACA